UUCGGGUUAGUGGCGGGCGGGUGAGUAACGCGUGGGAAUCUGCCCUCAGGAGGGGGAUAACGGCUGGAAACGGCCGCUAAUACCCCAUAUGCCGAGAGGUGAAAUGAAUUUCGCCUGAGGAUGAGCCCGCGUCUGAUUAGCUAGUUGGUGAGGUAAGAGCUCACCAAGGCAUCGAUCAGUAGCUGGUCUGAGAGGAUGAUCAGCCACACUGGGACUGAGACACGGCCCAGACUCCUACGGGAGGCAGCAGUGGGGAAUUUUCCGCAAUGGGCGAAAGCCUGACGGAGCAACGCCGCGUGAGGGAUGAAGGCCUCUGGGCUGUAAACCUCUUUUCUCAAGGAAGAAGAUCUGACGGUACUUGAGGAAUAAGCCACGGCUAAUUCCGUGCCAGCAGCCGCGGUAAUACGGGAGUGGCAAGCGUUAUCCGGAAUUAUUGGGCGUAAAGCGUCCGCAGGCGGCCCUUCAAGUCUGCUGUUAAAACGUGGAGCUUAACUCCAUCAUGGCAGUGGAAACUGUUGGGCUUGAGUGUGGUAGGGGCAGAGGGAAUUCCCGGUGUAGCGGUGAAAUGCGUAAAUAUCGGGAAGAACACCAGUGGCGAAGGCGCCCUGCUGGGCCAUAACUGACGCUCAUGGACGAAAGCCAGGGGAGCGAAAGGGAUUAGAUACCCCUGUAGUCCUGGCCGUAAACGAUGAACACUAGGUGUCGGGGGAAUCGACCCCCUCGGUGUCGUAGCCAACGCGUUAAGUGUUCCGCCUGGGGAGUACGCACGCAAGUGUGAAACUCAAAGGAAUUGACGGGGGCCCGCACAAGCGGUGGAGUAUGUGGUUUAAUUCGAUGCAACGCGAAGAACCUUACCAGGGUUUGACAUCCUGCGAACCUCUUGGAAACGAGAGGGUGCCUUCGGGAACGCAGUGACAGGUGGUGCAUGGCUGUCGUCAGCUCGUGUCGUGAGAUGUUUGGGUUAAGUCCCGCAACGAGCGCAACCCACGUCUUUAGUUGCCAGCAUUUAGUUGGGCACUCUAGAGAGACCGCCGGUGAUAAACCGGAGGAAAGGUGGUGGAUGACGUCAAGUCAUCAUGCCCCUUACAUCCUGG
rnacentral:rRNA from 1 species